GUGCUUACUUAAGAAACACAUAUGCUGAAAUAGAAAUGUUACAGAGAAGAUAAGCAUGCCAACUCAUAUAAGAAUGACAAGCACAUUCAUUAAAAUUUCAAAUUUCAG
rnacentral:snRNA from 1 species